rnacentral:lncRNA from 1 species
UUUCGUAAUCCAUCAUCCAAUGACUAAAGAACAAACCGUUGAACAGAAUUUACCAAAAAAAAAAAUCAAAAUCAAAAUAGGGCAAGAACAUACUGUAUACGAUGAUAGAGGUAAAGUGUACUGACAUGCCACCAGCUGGAAUGAAGCCAAGAAUGCGUUGGUAAUUACCAUCCGAUGGCGUUGGAUUUCAUGUGGUUUAGCGCUAUAUCAGAUUAAUAACACAUAAGGCUUUCGUGGGUUAUCUAGCUAGCUGUAUUUUCCGCCUGCUAUUAGCUCUUUAGGUGGCGUUGGAUUUCUAUUGUGAGACUUGACCGUCGGGCAGCACGUGUUUGAUCUAUCAGAUUAUCGAGAGGAUAAACAGAUGCAUUUGUCAACAACAAUAAUGAACUUGAAGCUUAACACUGUUUUGCAAGCACUUAACGAGUACCGGUACUGAUGCUUGCGUUUCUCUACGCUGAUAGGUUCGCACGCAUCAUCUGCUGAACGAACCAUAUCAAAGAGGCCAGGAUGGGCUUGGUGUUACUUUCUGUUGUUGGUGUUAGCUACACAAUUUCUGUCCUUACAACUAUUGUGUCUCUGUUUGUGCCUGCCAUUUCGCACGCGUGGAUCGUUAGUUCGUUAUCAAGUAAAUCAACUCUUUCUAUUGGAAUUUUUAAAACUUGCCAAGAGAUUUUUGGUCGAAAGAUUGUCUGCGGAACCCCGGAAGAUCUACCUAACGAAUGGUUCUUCACUUUUCUUUUUAUCCUUUGUGGACUCAUAAACCUUAUUGUUGCGAACUCAAUAGUCUAUUAUGAUAUUUAUAAUUGGCACUGGAGGCGACGUCGAACAAGAAAUAAAAAUGCAAAGAAUUUGGCUUUUAUUUCAUGUUUAUUUUAUAGUCUUGCUUCCGUCAUUUACCCCAUCAGUUUUCGGACACCGAUGAUAGGGGGUGCUGCAUUCAAAUUGCCGUCAGCAUUCCACAUCGGGCCUGGCUAUUACACUUUCGGUGCUGCGUGGUUUUUUCUUGUCAUUGGAACCGCUUUUGCAUUUACUGGAAGACUUUUCUGGAAAGUUCUUGUAAUCAUAUUUGGCUCAUAAUAUCGUUUUUCUAAUAAUUUCAAAAUCCAUUAACGAAAAAACAAAACCAAAUACACUGUUACACUAGGCCACUGCUGUAUAAUUCCUUCUGUAUCCAAUGUUUAGGUAUGUCUAUUUUUGUGUUUAUUCAUGGUUUAUUAAACCUGUUACUGUCGGAAUUUAUCGCACUUGCUUUUUUAAGCCAGGCUCCGAAGGAAAAAUUGAUAUGUAUAACCAUGGAGGAAAUAUCCUUCAUGGUAUAGGCCUAACUGAGACAGACCCAAAACAAUUAGACCCAAAAAGCAUAUUUGACAAAAGCUCGGGAACGGUCAUUAAGAUAUAUUUAUAUAUCUUAAAAACGUAACGUAAUGUAACCACCCCUUUCCACCCCACCCCCAGUUUUUAAAUAUACAUUAAAAAAAAUUAUAUCUCAACCGCCACCAAGUUUCGUCAAAUAUGCGUUUUGUUUUUGUCUUAGAAAAAUCAGUUAUACAACUUACCAAGCGUUGUUCCACCGGAGCCUAACCUGACUUUACACGAAAAAAAUUACAAAUAGAAAUGAUUAAAAUGUAAAUAGCUGACUCGCAUGUAGUUUAAAUUAGUCAUACGUUACCUAACUGUUUGUUUUUUUUUUUCAUUCUGUAAAAAAGCAGUGAUAAACUUUUAAGUGUUAUUUUUUAUAUUAGGUUUUAUUUUUACAUUAUAACGUCGUAGCCUAAAGCUUUACUAUCGAAAAUAAAAUAGAUUGAUAUUUAUAUCGAUUUUCUGUAUUUUUGUAAUAAUAAUAAAUAUAGUAUAGUGCCUAUAA